rnacentral:tRNA from 1 species
GGAGGGAUGGCAGAGUGGACGAUUGCGUUGGUCUUGAAAACCAAUGUACGUGCAAGCGUACCGUGGGUUCGAAUCCCACUCCCUCCGCCG